AUAGCACAAGUUGGCAAGACUUAUCAAAAUUUUAUCCAAAUUAAAGAGAGCUGCACCUGCACCUAUUUGGUCAAAAAGUAUCUUACAAAAAGUGAUAAGAUAAGGCUAAUUUGAAAAAGCUUCAUGAUUAUAUCUCUUAAGAUAUUGGGAUUAAGGAAACCCAAAGGGUGAAGAAAACUAAAUGGGCGGUGAAGGAAUUGCUAUAAAUAAGAGGCCAUGAGCUUAAGGGAACAUUCAUUCAUUCACUCUUACAACAACACACAAAACUUCACGAGAGAGGGUGAAGGCAGAGGAGAUUGAGAGCUACCAAGAAGAGCAGAGGAAUCAUCUUUCCAUCUCUUCUAGCUAUAUAUUGUAAGGUUAUUAUGUAUAACUAAUUCUCUCUUUUGUUGGGAUUAGAUGUAACUAACUCUAGUAAUAUGUAUACUUUAUGAUCAUGGUAUUAUAUAUGAUUUUAGAUUAUCCAUUAAUAUUAAUAUUGGUGUUGUUCUUGAUUUUCAUGUUUUAAUUAUAGGGUUUAACUUGUUAUAGACAUAUACUUUUUGAACCCAAAGAAAUAGGAUAACAUCUAUUGAAUCAUAAAUUCUAGACAUAGAUUUAGGUUUAAUAUUCACUUUUUGUAUCGGAUCUUAAUGUUAUUGUAUUGAUUGAUGAUCUGAGACAUCAGAGGUUAAUAGGUACAAUAGAUAUCCCGACGUUAUCUGGACACAGAAACGUUCGACGAGCGAUACGUGAUAAUAUUGAUAGAUGUCUAAAAUCUAUAUAACUGAUUAUGAGACAUAUGAAUGAGUUAGCGAUGUCUAAAUCCCAGCAAACUUAUCUCUAUGUAAUUUCAAUCAUUUCAUUACCAUCUGUAUAUUUUCGUACUUUCUCACAAACAAAUAUCCUCAAUCACUUUACUUAAAAUUAUAUUAAUUGUUGAACGGCAUCGAUAUCGCAUGUCCCUGUGGAGACGAUAAAAACUGUUGGAACAUGAUGAAGAAUUAUGGAGGGAACUUGGUAUUGAAAUAAACACAAUUGUAAGAAUCAUUAUAGUGUGAAUUGAAAAAAGACUCUUUGAGUUCCACAUUGGAAAAAUCACACUACUUGGUAGUGUUUAUAUAUCACAAGUUGGCAACCAAGGGUGUGCCCUUGGGGUACCCACUUUUGUAAGAAAGGGAGACCACACACAAUNNNNNNNNNNNNNNNNNNNNNNNNNNNNNNNNNNNNNNNNNNNGCUUGGGUGAUAUAUUAAUUUUUUAAUACUAAGAAAAAUGAAAUUUUGAAUUUAAAUUUCUUUUAAUUCGUCUCCUUAAUUCGCACAUGUUAAAUGUGCUUAGACCAAGUCUGAAACAGAUAAAUAUCUGUUAAACGGUCAAAAAUUACGUGUCCCUAUUUUUGUGCCACGUUUGGAAUUUUGACUGAGCAAUUUCAACUUCUGAAAAUCCUCUGAUUCCAGCUCCCUACUUGCCUAUAAAUACACUUCAGUUCUUCAGUUUGAAAAUCACUUCUUUUUCUCUGCAUUCUGAGAAAACUGCUUCUAAUUCCCUUCUCUCUUUUUUCUUCUUUGAAAUAAUUUUGUUGUUUUAACAUUUGAACGGUUGUAAACCGUAGAAUUGAUAUUCGUAUAUCAAUUAGAGUGGUUCGAAAAUUCAUACCAUAUUUGGUGUUAUUCUGGCCGAUACUACAGUGCAGUAGUUUAUCGGUAUUUAUUUGAUAAACGGCUGUUUUAUCCUGGGGACUUCGCGGUUGAUAUACUACAGUGCACUUCUUCGAGUAGUUCCGCGAAACGUCUUAAAGAAAGCGACCUAGUACGCGACUCAUCCAAUAAAUUAUUUCGUUGCCAAUUUUGAAAAUUCGUUUUCGGUUUUUUUUUUAAAGUCAGUAAACCGUUUUACAACAAAAACAUACUUACUUUUGUAAUUCAACAUCUACAUUACAUUUGUACCAAUUAACAGGAGGUUUCUGCCAUGAAAUGGUCUGCUGCUGCGUAUCUAUAUGCUGAUUCUGCUGUACCUGCUGCAACGCAUACCAUUCACUCCAUAAUUGUCGUGAUUUGAAGCCUAAGCUACGAACCGGUUCCUUCGAAUUGUUCCACACGCUA
rnacentral:lncRNA from 1 species